AUAAUGAACAAAUUCAAGAUUUGAGUUACCAACUCGAUACUUUUAUCAUUCAUAUAUGAGGUGGAAAUCCCAAAUUCUCCAACUUACAAGGAUUUCAUGAUUUGGAAAAUGUUAUUUACUUAUGAAGUUAACUCUGAUUUUACCUAUUGCUACGACAACUAUAUAGUGUGGAGAGAGCAUUCUCAUUCAUGAAGUUAACUCUGAUUUUACCUAUUGCUACGACAACUAUAUAGUGUGGAGAGAGCAUUCUCAUUCAUGAAGUUAACUCUGAUUUUACCUAUUGCUACGACAACUAUAUAGUGUGGAGAGAGCAUUCUCAUUC
rnacentral:misc_RNA from 1 species